UCACGUAUCCACGUACAAACCACUGCGAACUGUUCUCCCUUUUGAAGGCGCUGGGUUUGGUUCGAUCAUAGUCUCUUCCAGUCGUGAUAGAGGAGCGAUCGCGCCGUGAGUUUUGAGCCCGCAAGGGUUCUAAAUUCCGCCUGUGCUUUCAAGAGUGGUUAUUAUCACGCAACCCUUAUAACUAUUAACCCCUUUAACUUUUAUGAACUGAAAUUUAAGCUUGAUGUAAGAGUCGGGUCUCGGCCUGUAUUCUGAUCAAGUCUUUUAUUACGAAACUAAGAA
rnacentral:misc_RNA from 1 species